UAAAAAUAGGUCUCAGUUCAGAUUGCAGGCUGCAACCCGCCUGCAUGAAGUCGGAAUUGCUAGUAAUCGCGGAUCAGCAUGCCGCGGUGAAUACGUUCCCGGGCCUUGUACACACCGCCCGUCACACCAUGGGAGCCGGUAAUACCCGAAGUCAGUAGUCCAACCUCGUGAGGACGCUGCCGAAGGUAGGAUUGGCGACUGGGGUGAAGUCGUAACAAGGUAAC
rnacentral:rRNA from 1 species